rnacentral:rRNA from 1 species
UAUCGUUGCCCAGAAGACUACCUAAAUUAAAACUCAAUUUAAUGUUUUGAUGUCUGAAAAAUUGUACAAGUAAGCAAAACUUUCAACAACGGAUCUCUUGGUUCCGGCAUCGAUGAAGAACGCAGCGAAAUGCGAUAAGUAAUGUGGACCGCAGUACUCAGCGACUCAUCGAAUCUUUGAACGCAUAUUGCGCCCCUUGGUAUCCCCAAUGGGCACACCUGUUCGGAGCGUCAUUG